rnacentral:rRNA from 1 species
ACGAACGCUGGCGGCGUGCCUAACACAUGCAAGUCGAGCGGGGUCCAUCCAGUGGCAACACUGGUGAAGACCUAGCGGCGAACGGGUGAGUAACACGUGAGAAACCUGCCCUGAACUCUGGGAUAACCCGAGGAAACUCGAGCUAAUACCGGAUGCCCCCACCGAGUCGCAUGGCUUGGUGAGGAAAGAUUUAUCGGUUCAGGAGGGUCUCGCGGCCUAUCAGCUAGUUGGCGGGGUAACGGCCCACCAAGGCAUCGACGGGUAGCUGGUCUGAGAGGACGAUCAGCCACACUGGGACUGAGACACGGCCCAGACUCCUACGGGAGGCAGCAGUGGGGAAUAUUGCGCAAUGGGCGAAAGCCUGACGCAGCAACGCCGCGUGCGGGAUGACGGCCUUCGGGUUGUAAACCGCUUUCAGUGGGGACGAAAUCAGACGGUACCCACAGAAGAAGCCCCGGCCAACUACGU